UAGCUUCAGUUGUUAGGUAGGUGUUAUUUAUCUAGUUCUAUAGAACAGUUCUAUAAUACUCUCCGUUCUAGCUUCAGUUGUUAGGGAGAAGAAAGUAGAAGAAGUUAAUGGACAUGCAAAGAUGAACGGAGCGAGGAACGGACAUAAGCUUCAUAUCAGUUAGCUCUUCAGCACUAGUUAGUUGUACAGCACGAUAGUUAGCUGUACAGCACUUGAAUAAGCUGUACACUGUACAGCCCUAUAGUUAGCUGUACAGCACUCAUUUCUACCGUACAGCAAGCAGUACAUUAGCAAACAACUGUACACAAGGGCAUAUUUGUAAAAAAAAAACUAGUUACUCAAAAUUUCAAGCGUUACAAUGUCUUAAGUCUUUACAUAAACAACAGUAACAAUAUCAAUGUAUCAGAGUUUAAUUCCUAAUUUUGACUAUUUUGCCGUACUGGUAUUAAAUAAUUCAACUGAAAACUUAGGGCCCCCCCCCCUUUUUAUAACUUUGUUUAGUAUGUGUUAUUUUUAAUUUUUCUUAUUUUUUGUUUUUUUAUGAUAUCAUCAAAAAAAUGAAUUAUGAAAUGUUCUUAAUAUUUUGCCAUAAUUUCGACGGUUGGAAUCGCCACGAAAAGUAAUCGUGAAAUUGCGUAUCUUUUAACGUAUUAGGCGUCCUAUUAAUCUUACCGAAUUUAGAAUGGCUUCAUCUCCUUAACUUUUAAACAGGUUUUUCAAUCUGUUAACUGAUACAAUAACUAAAAUAUGAACUGUUUAUAAAAUCAAAUAAGUUUUGCAAUCUGUUAACUGAUAUAAUAACUAAAAUACGAACUGUUUAUAAAAUCAAAUAAGUUUUGCAAUCUGUUAAUUGAUAUAAUAACUAAAAUAUGAACUGUUUGUAAAAUCAAAUAAGUUUUGCAAUCUGUUAACUGAUAUAAUAACUAAAAUACGAACUGUUUAUAAAAUCAAAUAAGUUUUGCAAUCUGUUAAUUGAUAUAAUAACUAAAAUAUGAACUGUUUGUAAAAUCAAAUAAGUUUUGCAAUCUGUUAAUUGAUAUAAUAACUAAAAUACGAACUGUUUGCAAAAUCAAAUAAGUUUUGCAGAUUUAAUAACUAAAAUACGAACUGUUUAUAAAAUCAAAUAAGUUUUGCAAUCUGUUAACUGAUUUAAUAACUAAAAUACGAACUGUUUGUAAAAUCAAAUAAGUUUUGCAAUCUGUUAAUUGAUUUAAUAACUAAAAUAUGAACUGUUCAUAAAAUCAAAAAACUUUUGCAAUCUGUUAACUGAUAUAACAACUAAAAUACGAACUGUUUGCAAAAUCAAAUAAGUUUUGCAAUCUGUUAUCUGUAAAGCAAAAUUUUGUCCUAAAAGAAAAUACCAGUCAAAACUGGCCGAAAUUCGUUUUUUGUUCGUUUAUUAGAUUUAUCUUUUGUCAGGGUCAAUAUAUGGUAUUGUGGAACCUUUUAAAAAAACUUUAAAAGAAACAAAUACGUUAGAUUUCUCGUUAUAUGUCCAUAUUUUAGAUAUUUAAAUCUUUUAACAUAUAAAAAAGAAAUCCAAAAAAUUAAAGAUUUACAGCCAUUCAGAAAUUGAGAGGAUUUAAAUGUUGUAAUUCAUUACGAGAAAAAUAAUUUGGGAAAUGAUGUGCAGUAAUUUUCCGGUAAUUUUAUAGAUUGAGCAAUAAACUUCAGAAUUGGACCAUAAAUAAUGUUAUUUUUUAUUUUUUUUUCCUGUAUCCAACCAUAGUAUGAUCCCCUAAAAACCAUAUGUUAGUGUUUUGUGAUAUUUAGAUAGGAUUUUAAAUUUUCUUGUUUAUUCUAUUGAAAUACAUUUGUUAAACCCUUU